GCUAAUGUAGUUUAUUAGAAUUUUUAAUUUGUAAUUAAAGGGUUUGGUUAGCU
rnacentral:tRNA from 1 species